rnacentral:rRNA from 1 species
CGCGGCCUAUCAGCUUGUUGGUGGGGUGAUGGCCUACCAAGGCGACGACGGGUAGCCGGCCUGAGAGGGUGAUCGGCCACAUUGGGACUGAGAUACGGCCCAGACUCCUACGGGAGGCAGCAGUGGGGAAUAUUGCACAAUGGGCGGAAGCCUGAUGCAGCGACGCCGCGUGAGGGAUGACGGCCUUCGGGUUGUAAACCUCUUUCAGCAGGGACGAAGCGUAAGUGACGGUACCUGCAGAAGAAGCACCGGCUAACUACGUGCCAGCAGCCGCGGUAAUACGUAGGGUGCGAGCGUUGUCCGGAAUUACUGGGCGUAAAGAGCUCGUAGGCGGUUUGUCACGUCGUCUGUGAAAUCCUAGGGCUUAACCCUGGACGUGCAGGCGAUACGGGCUGACUUGAGUACUACAGGGGAGACUGGAAUUUCUGGUGUAGCGGUGGAAUGCACAGAUAUCAGGAAGAACACCGAUGGCGAAGGCAGGUCUCUGGGUAGUAACUGACGCUGAGGAGCGAAAGCAUGGGUAGCGAACAGGAUUAGAUACCCUGGUAGUCCAUGCCGUAAACGGUGGGCGCUAGGUGCGGGGUUCCUUCCACGGGCUCCGCGCCGUAGCUAACGCAUUAAGCGCCCCGCCUGGGGAGUACGG